AAGUCGUAACAAGGUUUCCGUAGGUGAACCUGCGGAAGGAUCAUUACCGAGAUAGGGUCCUUCGGGGCCCGACCUCCAACCCUUUGUCUACCUUACCACUGUUGCCUCGGCGGGUCGCCGGCGCCCUUUACCGGGCGCCGCCGUCGGCCUCUGCGCUCUCGAGUGCCCGCCGCCAGGCCCAUCUAAACCCUUUUUAAUCGAGAAUUCUGAGCGUAUAUUUAAUACUUUAAAA
rnacentral:misc_RNA from 1 species